rnacentral:tRNA from 2 species
GCCCAUUUAGCUCAGUCGGUAGAGCGCACGGCUGUUAACCGUUAGGUCGUAGGUUCGAGUCCUACAAUGGGCGCCA